UACGUAGGGUGCAAGCGUUGUCCGGAUUUAUUGGGCGUAAAGAGCGCGUAGGCGGCCAGGUAGGUCUGCUGUGAAAACUCGAGGCUUAACCUCGAGAUGUCGGUGGAAACCAUCUGGCUAGAGUCCGGAAGAGGAGAGUGGAAUUCCUGGUGUAGCGGUGAAAUGCGCAGAUAUCAGGAAGAACACCCGUGGCGAAGGCGGCUCUCUGGGACGGUACUGACGCUGAGACGCGAAAGCGUGGGGAGCGAACAGG
rnacentral:rRNA from 1 species